GUAGGUGAACCUGCGGAAGGAUCAUUAACACAACUAAAAAAGGAACGAUCGAACAAUGUCUCUGAAAAGAAGUCGUUGUUCUCUUUCUUUUUUUUCACCAAACUGUGCGGUCUACCAUUGACUCUGUUGCUGGGAAGUUGAAAUUAUAAGGGAGGAAAGAAGUAAAUCGUCUUAAAACAACGAGAUCUUCUUUUCAUUUCCAGCGACCUUUUUUCUCCCUUUAUCAUUUUUUUCACCCGAUUCAUUAAUCAAUCUCGGAUUGGCCUUUAGAGCUGCCGAGUCUCAUAUCAACCAAAUAAAACAUUGUUUUUUUAAGUUAAUAUACAUAACAACUGUUAACAAUGGAUAUCUUGGCUCUA
rnacentral:misc_RNA from 1 species